rnacentral:ncRNA from 1 species
CUCUGAGGACGACCUCAUUGAAUGAGGGCUUUUAUGCGGGACGACCCGC